GGCUCAGAUUGAACGCUGGCGGCAUGCUUUACACAUGCAAGUCGAACGGUAACAGGUUAAGCUGACGAGUGGCGAACGGGUGAGUAAUGCAUCGGAACGUGCCCGAUCGUGGGGGAUAACGCAGCGAAAGCUGCGCUAAUACCGCAUACGAUCUGAGGAUGAAAGCGGGGGACCGUAAGGCCUCGCGCGAUCGGAGCGGCCGAUGUCAGAUUAGGUAGUUGGUGGGGUAAAGGCUCACCAAGCCGACGAUCUGUAGCUGGUCUGAGAGGACGACCAGCCACACUGGGACUGAGACACGGCCCAGACUCCUACGGGAGGCAGCAGUGGGGAAUUUUGGACAAUGGGCGCAAGCCUGAUCCAGCAAUGCCGCGUGCAGGAAGAAGGCCUUCGGGUUGUAAACUGCUUUUGUACGGAGCGAAAAGGCCCUCUCUAAUACAGGGGGUUCAUGACGGUACCGUAAGAAUAAGCACCGGCUAACUACGUG
rnacentral:rRNA from 1 species